rnacentral:rRNA from 1 species
AACGAACGCUGGCGGCAGGCUUAACACAUGCAAGUCGAACGCCCCGCAAGGGGAGUGGCGCACGGGUGAGUAACGCGUGGAUAUCUGCCUUUUGGUUCGGAAUAACCCCGGGAAACUGGGGCUAAUACCGGAUGGUUCCUACGGGAUAAAGAUUUAUCGCCAAAAGAUGAGUCCGCGUACGAUUAGCUAGUUGGUGAGGUAAUGGCUCACCAAGGCGACGAUCGUUAGCUGGUCUGAGAGGACGAUCAGCCACACUGGGACUGAGACACGGCCCAGACUCCUACGGGAGGCAGCAGUGGGGAAUAUUGGACAAUGGGGGCAACCCUGAUCCAGCCAUGCCGCGUGAGUGAUGAAGGCCUUCGGGUUGUAAAGCUCUUUUGGCGGGGACGAUGAUGACGGUACCCGCAGAAUAAGCCCCGGCUAACUUCGUGCCAGCCGCCGCCGUAACAC